rnacentral:lncRNA from 1 species
GCUCCCCAUGGAGGCCAGGUCUACCCCAUUGGGGGUCAACUCCUCCCCACAGAGACCAGGUCUACCCCAUUGGGGGUCAAGCCACCCCAUGGAGGCCAGGUCUACCCCGUUGAGGGUCAAGGCCACCCCACGGAGGUCAGGUCUCCCCCAUUGGGGGUCAAUGCCGCUCCACAGAGAGCAGGUCUACCCCAUUGGGGGUCAAGCCACCCCAUGGAGGCCAGGUCUACCCCGUUGAGGGUCAAGGCCACCCCACGGAGGUCAGGUCUACCCCGUUGGGGGUCUACUGCUCCCCAUGGAGGCCAGGUCUACCCCAUUUAGGGGUCAAGGCCGCCCACAGAGACCAGGUCUACCCCAUUGGUGGUCAAUACAACCCCACAGAGACCAGGUCUACCCCAUUGUCCCAAUGUCACCCUAUGAGGUCAGGGUCACUCUAUGGGUCCCAAGGCCACCCCAUGGGGGCCAGGUCUACCCCAUUUAGGGGUCAAGGCCACCCCACGGAGGUCAGGUCUACCCCAUUGGGGGUCAAUGCCGCUCCACAGAGACCAGGUCUACCCCAUUGGGGGUCAACUCCUCCCCACAGAGACCAGGUCUACCCCAUUGGGGGUCAACUCCUCCCCACAGAGACCAGGUCUACCCCAUUGGGGGUCAACUCCUCCCCACAGAGACCAGGUCUACCCCAUUGGGGGUCAACUCCUCCCCACAGAGACCAGGUCUACCCCAUUGGGGGUCAACUCCUCCCCACAGAGACCAGGUCUACCCCAUUGGGGGUCAACUCCUCCCCACAGAGACCAGGUCUACCCCAUUGGGGGUCAACUCCUCCCCACAGAGACCAGGUCUACCCCAUUGUCCCAAGGCCACCCUACGGGUCCCAGGGUCACCCUAUGGGUCCCAAAACCACUCCAUGGGGGCCAGGUCUACCCCAUGGUAUCAAUGUCACCCCAUGGGGGUCAAGGUCACCCUAUGGAGGCCACACCCCACAGAGGCCAGGUCUACCCCUUUGGGGGUCAAGGCCACCCCACGGAGGUCAGGUCUACCCCAUUGGGGGUCAAGGCCUCCCCACGGAGGCCAGGUCUACCCCAUGGUCCCAAUGUCACCCUAUGGGGGUCAAGGUCACCCUAUGGAGGCCACGUCUACCCCAUUGUCCCAAGGCCACCCUACGGGUCCCAGGGUCACCCUAUGGGUCCCAAAACCUCUCCAUGGGGGCCAGGUCUACCCCAUGGUCCCAAUGUCACCCUAUGGGGGUCAAGGUCACCCUAUGGAGGCCACGUCUACCCCAUUGUCCCAAGGCCACCCUAUGGGUCCCAAGAGCCACCCGAUGGGGUCAAGGCCACCCCAUGGGGUGACCUUGACCUCCCCCUUCCCCCCCUUCCCCCCCCCGCAGGUGGAGGCCCACGAGGACGACGUCAACGCGGUGGCCCUGGGGGACGGCACGGGGGGGCAGCUGUUGCUCUCGGGGGGGGACGACGGGGUCAUCCGGGCCUGGGACCGCCGCUGCCUGGGGGAGGGGCAGCCCCGCCCCGUCGGCCUCCUGGCCGGCCACCGCGAUGGAAUCACCUUCCUGCACCCCCGGGGCGACGGGCGUUACCUGGUCUCCAACUCCAAGGACCAGACGGCCAAGUUGUGGGACCUGAGGCGACCGGCCGGGCCGGGGGGUUUGGCCGCCGCCCGUCGGGCCGUGGCUCGGCAGAGCUGGGACUAUCGGUGGCAACGGGCCCCCCCCCGAGGUGAGUGGGCGGAGCUUGGGGUGGGAGGGGGCGGGGCCUCGGGGGUGGGGUAAUUAAGGAAGGAUGAGGGGUGGUAAUUAAGGAGGGAAGGGGGGAUUAAGGAGGGGAUAAUAGGGGUCCCUGGGGUGGUUAGAUGCCCCCCUGGGGUAAUUAAUCCCAUCCCGGGGGUAAUUAGUCACAUCCCUGGGGUAAUUAGUCACAUCCACAGGGGUAAUUAGCCCCAUCUGGGGGUAAUUAGCCCCAUCUCUGGGGUAAUUAGUCGCAUCCAGGGGGUAAUUAGCCCCACCUCGAGGUAAUUUAGACCUUUUUUGAGGUAAUUAGAACAUCCUUGGGGUAAUUAGAGCAUCUUUGGGGUAAUUAGAACAUUCUUGGGGUAAUUAGACCCGCCCCAGGGGCAAUUAGACCCACCUCGGGGGUAAUUAGCCUCAUCUCUGGAGUCAUUAGCCCCAUCCCGGGGGUAAUUAGUCGCAUCCAGGGGGUCAUUAGCCCCACCCGGGCUUAAUUACCCCCAUCCCAGGCUUAAUUACCCCCAUCUGGGGCUUAAUUACCCCCAUCCCGAGCUUAAUUACCCCCAUUCCGUAAUUAGACUCAUCCCUGGGGUGAUUAUCCUGCUCCCUGGCUUAAUUACCCCUACCCCGGCUUAAUUACCCCCAUACCGGGCUUA